rnacentral:rRNA from 1 species
UGGGGAAUAUUGCACCAUGGGCGCAAGCCUGAUGCAGCAACGCCGCGUGAGGGACGACGGCCUUCGGGUUGUAAACCUCUUUUGGCAGGGAAGAAGCGAAAGUGACGGUACCUGCAGAAAAAGCACCGGCUAACUACGUGCCAGCAGCCGCGGUGAUACGUAGGGUGCAAGCGUUGUCCGGAAUUAUUGGGCGUAAAGAGCUCGUAGGCGGUUUGUCGCGUCUGCUGUGAAAACCCGAGGCUCAACCUCGGGCCUGCAGUGGGUACGGGCAAACUAGAGUGCGGUAGGGGAGAUUGGAAUUCCUGGUGUAGCGGUGGAAUGCGCAGAUAUCAGGAGGAACACCGAUGGCGAAGGCAGAUCUCUGGGCCGUAACUGACGCUGAGGAGCGAAAGCAUGGGGAGCGAACA